rnacentral:rRNA from 1 species
GACGAACGCUGGCGGCGUGCUUAACACAUGCAAGUCGAACGGAAAGGCCCUUCGGGGUGCUCGAGUGGCGAACGGGUGAGUAACACGUGGGUGAUCUGCCCUGCACUUUGGGAUAAGCCUGGGAAACUGGGUCUAAUACCGAAUAUGAUCAUCGGCUUCAUGGUCGGUGGUGGAAAGCUUUUGCGGUGUGGGAUGGGCCCGCGGCCUAUCAGCUUGUUGGUGGGGUAAUGGCCUACCAAGGCGACGACGGGUAGCCGGCCUGAGAGGGUGACCGGCCAGACUGGGACUGAGAUACGGCCCAGACUCCUACGGGAGGCAGCAGUGGGGAAUAUUGCACAAUGGGCGCAAGCCUGAUGCAGCGACGCCGCGUGAGGGAUGACGGCCUUCGGGUUGUAAACCUCUUUCAGCACAGACGAAGCGCAAGUGACGGUAUGUGCAGAAGAUGGACCGGCCAACUACGUGCCAGCCGCCGCAGUAAGAC